rnacentral:tRNA from 1 species
AUUUAUAUAGUUUAAAUAAAACAUUACCUUUUCACGGUAAAAUUAUAUAAUUUAUAUUAUAAAUA